rnacentral:lncRNA from 1 species
GCUGACCUGACCCCCAAGGCUCUUGGAUAAAGGAGAGGAGGCAGGCGUUGGCUUGAAGGCCAUGUAUUCAUGGCAGCUGGUCCCGGCACUUGGGUCCGCAGAGCUGCUGCAGGUUAAAGUUCAGCAUGGCUGCUAAUCGGGGACCAAGCUCCUAGGAAAUGAAGGACAACAGGACGGUCCAAGCUGCUGCAAAGUCCAGGCCCAGAAGCUCCUACCCCAGUGGGAAUGGGCUGCUCAAUCUGCAAAGCACCCCUGAAUUGUGCUGAGCUGCAGCACAAAGCUAGAGAAAGCAUUGGAAUCAAACAUCUCCCCCGCCAUUGAUCUGAAAACCCCUAUAAUGGAGUGGUCUGAUUGCAUAGAGAUGAACGCCCACAGAAGUCUUCUGGAAAGAGACACUUUCUCUUAGAGCAUCACUCCAAAGUCACUGAGAAGCAGGGAGAGGACAGAGGCCCUCGCUGUCCUGUCACUGUGGCUGGGAAGCCUCAUGUCCACAUUUCCCCAUAAACUUCUCAAGUCCCCAACAGUCAGGCACGUGUUGUUCUAAUCUACUUACUGAAGAGAGAGAAGACGGUGACAUUUGUCAACGGCGUACGUCUUGCCACUGUGAUGAAUUAAACUGACAGAAUAUUAAGGACAAAUAGCCCUCAAGAGUCGGCAGGCCAACAGUACCUGCUGCAGCUGGGACAAACAUGGCUUCUGAGCUCAGAGACAGCUGCUGUAGACCAGACAUUAAAUACUGACCAGCAAAAAGAUUCCUUAACUAAUGAGGUCCUCAUGCAGUGACUGGGUUCAUACAAAAAAAUCUCCUGAGCUUCCUGUUGUAGAAAUCAUGGUUUUAGCCCAGUGUUGGAAAGCUGGGGGCUGAAAAAGUGCUUAAGCGAGCAAGGAAGGAGGGCAGAAAUGCAGGCGGGCUGAAGAGAUGGCUUGGCUUUUAAGAAAACGUGCUUCUCUUCCAGAGGACACACACUUUGGUUCCCAGCACCAAUAUCAGUGCGCUCCUAAGAGUAGGCAAAUCCAGCUCCAGGGAGUCUAAAGCUCUCUUCUGACCGCCAAAGGCGCUGGCAAGCACAUAGCAUAUACCGUCCCUAACACACCCACACAUAAAGUUGUAUUUGAAUGUGGUCACUCUUUUGGAAAACAGUCAGGCUUGUCUAUGUCCAGGCUAUCACAGGAGCACAGCUGAGCAGGUGCCUGAGACACAUCUCCAACACCUUUAACCGGCUGCUCUCUCAGCCUUGGUAGGAGAUGCUAGCAAAUCCCCUUUACACAUCCCUAAGGGAGCAGGAAUGUGGACCACGGUGAGCUGCUUCCCGCUCGCUCGCAUCUGCUGCUAUGCUGACAUCUGCUUAUCAAGAAACAGGAAAAGACCCAGAUCUCAGUCUGUAGACAGGCCCCCGUGUGACAGUGGCCCUGCUGGAGGCAACACAGUGAUUCCUGUCACAGAGCAGUGAGGAAGCACAGAGAAGGAGAGGAAUACACAGUAAAGCUGCACAUGUGCAGACAGCUGCAGAUGGACCUCAGCUCCCUGCGCACUGCCACCCCACAGUUUUUCUCACCCGCCUGGAAAAUGUCAAGUAGACACCGCUAACUGGCCAGCAAGCCUGAAGGGUCUCACUGUCACCACUACCUCAGCAGUGGGAUUACAACUGGGUGCCACCCUG